ACGUCACUUGGGAAAAACAGCCCCCUGCCGUUGCCAGCGCAGCGAGGGGAAACUCCGUUUUCCUUUGCCCUGUCGCAGCCGGAUCCCGCAGUCGCUCGUGCUCGGCUCCCUCUGCAAGCCGCUAGAAUGAGAGAGGCGAUGAUACCGAGAGAGGAAACUUACCUCCCAGACGCUCGGCUGCAGCGCCAUAAACUAAGCAGCCCUGGCAGCGGAGAGGGACUUUCCUCCUGCUCUUCCACGGGAUGCUUUCAAAGAAAAUCCAAGCUGACUGAGAGCUAAAGCCACCGCUUCUGAAUUCUGGGCACUGGGGAAAAGGCAGACCCCUGAUUUACACCCCCCCGCCCCGAAACAGUCGUUGCUAAGAAAUCCUUGGAGAACAGCUCUUUUGACGGAAUCGCUAGAUGUGGCUUUUGAGGGCCGUGGCGGGCGAUGGCUGGAGCAGGGGAGCGCGGGCCACGUGACGCGGCCGAUUAACAAGUGGGCUUUGUCAUGUGUCGCUACCAGGACACCUGCGGCGGCUGCAGCCUGCUCCUCACAAUAGGGGCACUUUGUUAGCAGCCUCGCCUCCAAAAGAUGGAGCAAAUGAGUGUAAAGAGGGGAAGGUUUUGCCGAUUAGUCAUUGAAUCUCUCCCAAAUAAAGCUGUGUCAUGUAAGAAC